rnacentral:sRNA from 1 species
UGCCUGGGCCGCGCCGCCCCGCCCCGCCCUACCUGGGCGGGGUUGGGACCUUUCUGGCACCUGCAUCGAAGCCGGCGGCAGGGUGGACUUCGUUGUCCCGGUCCCAGACUACCCUCCUCCACCGCCGCCUCCCACUGCAAAAGGGCCUAGAUAAGGAACCUAAUUCGAGCUAUCCUUCUCUGUGAAGUCCGACGGCUGAGAACGUCAGGGCUCGUUCCCAGGUCUCUUUCCAGAGGCUAAGCUUUAUGCGAGCAUGGGUUACCAGCGAUGCAUCCUGUGAGUUUUCCUGUAUCAAUAUGUAUGGAGCGGUUCGGGAGCGGUGGCUCAUUCCUGUAAUCCCAGCACUUUGGGAAGCUGUGGCGGGAGGAUCGAUUGAGUUCAGGAGUUCGACACCACCCUGGGCAACAUAGCGAGACCACAUCUCUACAAAAAAAUACAAAAAUUAGCCCGGUGUGAUGGCGCGCGCCUGUAGUCCCGGCUACUCAGGAGGCUGUGGUGGAAGGAUUGCUUGAGCCCGGGAGGUCAAGGUUGCAGUGAGCUAUGAUCGCACCACUGCACUUCAGCCUGGGCAACAGAGCAAGACCUGGCAUUAAAACAAACAAAAAACGGGCCGGGCGCGGUGGCUCACAGCUGUAAUCCCAGCACUUUGGGAGGCCAAGGCAGGUGGAUCGCCUGAGGUCAGGAGUUCGAGACCAGUCUGGGCAACAUGAUGAAACCUCGUCUCUACUAAAAAUACCAAAAAUUAGCCGCGCGUGGUGGCGGGCACCUGUACCCAGCUACUUGGGAGGCUGAGGCAGGAGAAUCGCUUGAACCCGGGAAGCGGAGGCUACAGUAAGCCGAGAUCAAGCCAUUGCACUCCAGCACUCCAGCCUGGGCAGCAGAGCGAGACUCUGUCUCAAAAAAAGGAAAAAAAAAAAAAGAAGGGACUGAGGGACUGUAAGUGGUGAUACCAAAGGCAGCAUGGCCAUUUAGGAAGCUAGACUUGAGUGAGCAGUGGGCAAGAGAGAUUUUGAAGAUAUUUCCACUAGUAAUGGAGGAUCAUUUUAAAAAGCUGGGCUGUGGGUUGGGCUUUUGUUGUUGGGUGGUGUUGGCACUCACUGUGGUUGGGCAAAGGGGAGUAGCCCUU